rnacentral:tRNA from 1 species
CGGGAUGUAGCGCAGCCUGGUCAGCGCGUCUGCCUUGGGUGCAGAAGGUCGCGUGUUCAAAUCACGCCAUCCCGA